AUUCAAAAAGCCCGAGGAAAGUAGCACAUGCUGAAUCGCCUUUGGUCAUUCUUGAAUAUAAAAUACCUUAAUCCAAAAAAAAAUUACAGGUGUAGAUAUUAUUGUAGGCAAAACACAAAACAUCAAAGUCGAAUAGUUCGUAUAUCAGACCAGCGGCAGUCCCAGCCACAACAUCGGCACCACCCCCAAACAACUGGUACAUUUACCACACACAGCCAUACACCUAUGUCGUGACAUUCCAUCACAGGCUUUAGUGCCCCAAGCAAAAGGGACCACAGAACAGCCUGAUCAAGAUCCUGCAGUCCAUUUUGAUGCUUACAGAGAAUGACUCUUCAGGGCUUAUACAUGUAGAAGCGUAUUUUUUACGUGAACGGCUCCUCGUAGUUUCUGUGUGUAGAGAUGCUUCAGAGUUCGACAUGUUAGAUGCCCUCUGAGAUUUAUUCCUUUCAUGGUAUGGCAUUUGUGAUCUGAAUGAUCAAUAAAAAGGAUAUAUAGAUCUAUACACAUCUCGCAAUGUCAGUGUGUGGAAUGUCUGCCGACUUAGAUGAUAAGUAUUUAGUAUGGAACACUGCAGGAAUAUCAAACACAAUAAAAGACAAACAUUUUCAGGGUCUGAUCAUAA